GCUGCUUCUACUCCUGAAGUACCAUCCACAUAUAUCCACUCAUUUCCAUCUCCAGAACCACCCAAAAACAUUCUACUCCUAAUCCGGGAGAGAAUGGCCAAAAAUAUUUCUGUUUUUCCCUUGUGAAAUAAUAAUAAAUACUCAAGUUAUCUUGUUACUACCACUUGCUAUAUUAUCUCAAGAGAUGAGUGCUCUAAAAAAAGAAGAGAGAAACGAGGAAAUAAAAAGGGGCAAGUGCCUGGAACCUCGAAAGAAAAGAAAAAGUGAGACGAGAGGUAAAAAUGGACAAGUGUCCGACAGUAGAAUUAGGGGUACAAGAUACCCACCUGAGAGAA
rnacentral:lncRNA from 1 species